AACAAUAUUCCACCAAAACAUUUGAAAGAACUUCUGGUCAACUCAUCUAUUUCAUCUUUCAAAUCACAAGAAGCCAAUAUUUUAUCCAUUAAUUCUCUCUGCUGUCAAGAGCUGGAGGAGGAAAAGGCCACAGCAAAGACUACUGCACCAGAGAGGAUGACAGAAAAAACCAUUCCCAUGAUAAUAGCAAAUCUGACACACGCAUGCUUGUGGCAAGAACAAUAUUAAAACAGAAUUUCAGUAGGUACCAAUGAAGCUCCUGUUUUCGU
rnacentral:lncRNA from 11 species